rnacentral:rRNA from 1 species
UACGUAGGGGGCAAGCGUUGUCCGGAUUUAUUGGGCGUAAAGAGCGUGUAGGCGGUUUGGUAGGUCCGUUGUGAAAACCCGAGGCUCAACCUCGGGCCUGCAGUGGGUACGGGCAGACUAGAGUGCGGUAGGGGAGAUUGGAAUUCCUGGUGUAGCGGUGGAAUGCGCAGAUAUCAGGAGGAACACCAAUGGCGAAGGCAGAUCUCUGGGCCGUAACUGACGCUGAGGAGCGAAAGCAUGGGAGGCGAACAGGAAU